GACGAACGCUGGCGGCGUGCUUAACACAUGCAAGUCGAACGGAAAGGCCCUGCUUUUGUGGGGUGCUCGAGUGGCGAACGGGUGAGUAACACGUGAGUAACCUGCCCUUGACUUUGGGAUAACUUCAGGAAACUGGGGCUAAUACCGGAUAGGAGCUCCUGCUGCAUGGUAGGGGUUGGAAAGUUUCGGCGGUUGGGGAUGGACUCGCGGCUUAUCAGCUUGUUGGUGGGGUAGUGGCUUACCAAGGCUUUGACGGGUAGCCGGCCUGAGAGGGUGACCGGCCACAUUGGGACUGAGAUACGGCCCAGACUCCUACGGGAGGCAGCAGUGGGGAAUAUUGCACAAUGGGCGGAAGCCGGAUGCAGCAACGCCGCGUGCGGGAUGACGGCCUUCGGGUUGUAAACCGCUUUCGCCUGUGACGAAGCGUGAGUGACGGUAAUGGGUAAAGAAGCACCGGCUAACUACGU
rnacentral:rRNA from 1 species